rnacentral:rRNA from 1 species
CAGCCGCCGCGGUAAUACGUAGGGUGCGAGCGUCAAUCGGAAUUACUGGGCGUAAAGCGUGCGCAGGCGGUUAUAUAAGACAGAUGUGAAAUCCCCGGGCUCAACCUGGGACCAGCAUUUGUGACUGUAUAGCUAGAGUACGGUAGAGGGGGAUGGAAUUCCGCGUGUAGCAGUGAAAUGCGUAGAUAUGCGGAGGAAUACCGAUGGCGAAGGCAAUCCCCUGGACCUGUACUGACGCUCAUGCACGAAAGCGUGGGGAGCAAACAGGAUUAGAUACCCCCGUAGUCCCUGUCUCUUAUAC